rnacentral:rRNA from 1 species
UACGGAGGGGGCUAGCGUUGUUCGGAAUUACUGGGCGUAAAGCGCACGUAGGCGGCUUUGUAAGUUAGAGGUGAAAGCCCGGGGCUCAACUCCGGAAUUGCCUUUAAGACUGCAUCGCUCGAAUUGUGGAGAGGUAAGUGGAAUUCCGAGUGUAGAGGUGAAAUUCGUAGAUAUUCGGAAGAACACCAGUGGCGAAGGCGGCUUACUGGACAGAAAUUGACGCUGAGGUGCGAAAGCGUGGGGAGCAAACAGG